rnacentral:rRNA from 1 species
UAGUUGGUGGAGUGAUUUGUCUGGUUAAUUCCGUUAACGAACGAGACCUCGACCUGCUAAAUAGCUCGGCGAUUCUUCUUGAAUCGACCGACGCUUCUUAGAGGGACUUUGGGUGGGUAGCCUAAGGAAGUUCGAGGCAAUAACAGGU